rnacentral:misc_RNA from 1 species
GAUGAAGAACGUAGCGAAAUGCGAUACUUGGUGUGAAUUGCAGAAUCCCGUGAACCAUCGAGUCUUUGAACGCAAGUUGCGCCUCAAGCCAUUAGGUUGAGGGCACGUCUGCCUGGGCGUCACAUAUCGUUGCCUGAUGCCAGUUUCCUCGUGAUGGGUGACUGUGCAGGGCGAAUGAUGGCUUCCCGUGAGCAUUGUUGCCUCAUGGUUGGUUGAAAAUUGAGUCCUUGUAGGGAGCGCCGUGAUAGAUGGUGGUUGAGUGACGAACGAGACCCAAUCAUGUGAGACCCCUACCGAAUUUGGCCUUCAUGACCCACAUGCGUCUUUGGAACGCUCAUGACGAGACCUCAGGUCAGGCGGGGCUACCCGCUGAGUUUAAGCAUAUCAAUAAGCGGAGGA